UGAGUAACCUGCCCUUAACUCUGGGAUAAGCCUGGGGAAACUGGGUCUAAUACCGGAUAUGACUCCUCAUCGCAUGGUGGGGGGUGGAAAGCUUUAUUGUGGUUUUGGAUGGACUCGCGGCCUAUCAGCUUGUUGGUGAGGUAAUGGCUCACCAAGGCGACGACGGGUAGCCGGCCUGAGAGGGUGACCGGCCACACUGGGACUGAGACACGGCCCAGACCUCCGUACGGGGAGGCAG
rnacentral:rRNA from 1 species